rnacentral:rRNA from 1 species
UACGUAGGUGGCGAGCGUUGUCCGGAUUUACUGGGCGUAAAGAGCGCGCAGGCGGUCGUGCAAGUCGCGUGUGAAAGCCCCCGGCUCAACUGGGGAGGGUCACGCGAUACUGCUCGACUCGAAGGCAGGAGAGGGAAGUGGAAUUCCCGGUGUAGUGGUGAAAUGCGUAGAGAUCCGGAGGAACACCAGUGGCGAAGGCGACACGCUGGGCCGUACCUGACACUGAUGCGCGACAGCAUGGGGAGCAAACAGG